UUGCCUGUCGACCAAUGGUCAGGUCACCUCGCUGAUAUCGAGGAAACGCCAGUUCGAUUCUGGCCGGGCAGA
rnacentral:tRNA from 1 species